rnacentral:rRNA from 1 species
AAAAUCGGAAACGUCAGACUUUCGAGAAAAUCUUUUCAUACGAAAAACAUACCGUACUUGUACCGUAAACCGACACAGGUGGGUAAGUAGAGUAUACUAAGGGGCGCGAGAUAACUCUCUCUAAGGAACUCGGCAAAAUGGCCCCGUACCUUCGGAAGAUGGGGUACCUUUUUAAAAAGGUUGCAAUAACCAGGCCCAGGCGACUGUUUACCAAAAACACAGGUCUCCGCAAAGUCGUAAGACAACGUAUGGGGGCUGACGCCUGCCCAGUGCCGGAAGGUUAAAGAAUCUUGUUAGAUUAUUCGAAGCUCGAAACUGAAGCCCCGGUGAACGGCGGCCGUAACAAUAACGGUCCUAAGGUAGCAAAAUU